UACAGAGGGGGCAAGCGUUAUUCGGAAUUAUUGGGCGUAAAGAGCUCGUAGGUGGUUCGGUAAGUCAGGUGUGAAACCUCCAGGCUCAACCUGGAGACGCCACUUGAUACUGCUGUGACUGGAGUCCGGUAGGGGAGCGUGGAAUUCCUGGUGUAGCGGUGAAAUGCGCAGAUAUCAGGAGGAACACCGGUGGCGAAGGCGGGUCUCUGGGCAACAACUGACGCUGAGGAGCGAAAGCGUGGGGAGCGAACAGG
rnacentral:rRNA from 1 species